CGUCGACCACCGCCCAAACAAGGAGAGGCAACGACUUCGACAGAAGUCGUGACACCUAAAAUCCACAAUGGAACGUAGAGAGGUGACAAGGUUGAUGAAGUACUACACCAUCACCAUCGUGCACCUGGCGACCUGGUUAGCGUGCACUGCGCCCGGCCCACCACAGGAGUCGCUGGUGUGCAAGGAUAUCCCUACCGGCCAAGCCCUCCCUAACCCGGACGA